AUGUAGAGUCCCUAUAAGCGUUCUGAUGAGUGGGCUGCUCAGAUUUUUCUGUAAGGCGACUGGCAUCUAUCCAGAGUACCUGCGCGAGAGUUUCAGCAUUCAGUGGAAUAGAAUCAGACAGAAAGUGCAGGGACGACGAGUCCUGCCCAGCGGAUUGACCUUAUGAAUUGUGAAUGUGAAAAACUAGCAACUGUGCCAAGAAGAACAAAGGGCAUCUGAGGACAGUCACUCACAGCUCGGACUAUCUAAUGUAUACUCUGCACAUGACACCCAAUUCACAGAGGAACGACGGUGAAAGAGCUAGACAGGACCACCUAGAGUUGUCAGUAAACAAUGGUUCACCCGCAAGGUCGCUGGACGCGGCAGAAAAGCUGAUGGAAAAGCUAAUUAUACGGUGCGGCUCUCCGUGGAACAGCCAUCAUUAGCACUGGCCACCAAACAUCACAUGGCAGGUGAAUUCUGAUCUCCUCUGCCCAACCUGAGAGGGACACGGAGGUGUGUGUCUCCUGUAGCAUGCGGCGGUCAUGUGGAGGGAGGAGGAAACUAAUGGAGCAUGAUAAACAAAGUCUCAUAAAUGUAUAGGGUUCAUGGUCAGGCAUGUCUCACUCGCAGGUCAUCAGCCGUGCUGCUCUCACCUCUCACCUGAUUGGCCUCUCAGUGGACUUAAACAGCCAAUCAGCAGGUUUCAGUCCAUUAACCACAAAUAAACAGAGAAAGUUCAAUAAUCCAAUAAUGCACUGUGGAGAAAAACACCGACUCGUUCAUUCAUUGGGAUGCCUGUCUGUUCACUGCUUUGAUAAAUACGCCACAAUUGUUUCGAAAGAAAAUAUCAAACUAAAAAAGAUGAUGAUAAUAAUAAUAAAAGAUUAUUUUGCAUCUAUGGUGAGUAAAAGUAUUCAUAAAAUAAGUAUUUAUAUUUAAAAAAAAAAGUGUAUUAGUUUCCACAAAAAAGAAACAAAUUAAUAAUGAUAAGACUAUUAAUAAUUCUUCUUCUUCCAUUUCUUAUUAUGUAUUUAUUUAUUUGAAUUUUUUUAUUUGUCUGACUUAUAAAUUAUUGCUGGCACUAAGUUAUUAAUAACAGUUAUUAUUAUCAGUGUUGAAAACAGUAUUUACUGCUUGC